UUCAGUUCCUUGUGACUGGACAGGUCCUUUAAAACAAUUGUGCAUCAAGGAAAGUUCUCUACCAUUUCUGAAUUUGUCAAUCUUUAUGCACCUAAAUAGCCAUCCUUAUGCUGUUACUACACCCUGAAAUAGUCACACAUAAUAAAAAGAGAACAAGAGAAUUCCAUUCUCAUGCAAACUUUGGACAAGAAAUGCCACAGCGUCUAAAUGGAUGGUCUUAUACUGAGAGUUGUAGUUGCUUCUGUCUGUGUUAUUGCAACAGGAGAAUUUGAGAUGACUGAUUAGCACAGCCAAGAAGAGGAUGCUCAGAUGUGUACACAGACAGAACAGAGUUACAAAAUACUGAAUCCUGCUGAAUCCCUACCCUUCACAUUUUAACUUUUUUUUUUUUCCUUCCAUGUACUGCUCACUGCACUGCUUUCCUUGGCCACAUUUUAUCUAAAUUUGGCUGGAAUAAUAGAUGCCAUUACCACAGCCCAUGUUGUUUUCAGCAGCUUGAGCAUAAUGGCAUGAGGAUUCAUGCAGAAGAAUCCAGCAUGCAAAGAAGAAUGUGAAUCCCCUGCCUGAGAUCAAAAAUCUGUCACUCUGUG
rnacentral:lncRNA from 1 species